ACAAAGAGCUACCAGCCCGCAGAUAAUGCUGUGCGGAGCUGCUCUCGCUGCUCCCACUGCUCCCACGAUGCACUGCUUAUAGCAGCUGUCAAAGAUACUGAGGGAUCCUCGGUGGAAAAAAGACUUUUACAACUGCCUGAAAGAAAGGGGUGUGAGGGAGGAGACAUUUCUGUGCACAGCAGACCAAAGGAAAGAGUAGGCAUCAGUGCAGUAUGAAUGCAUACCUCACCAAGCAACACAGCUGCAGCCGGGGGUCCGAUGGGAUGGAUGCCGGCAGGAGCGCGCCCACCCUGAUCAGGGAUGCCCACUGCGCUUGUGGCUGGCAGAGGAACUCUCAGGGGCUCGGGUACAGUUCUCAGACCAUGCCCUCCUCAGGACCAGGGGGCCCAGCUUCAAACAGGACCGGGGGGUCCAGCUUCAACAGGACCUUGUGGGACAGUGUGCGGAAAAGCCCCCACAAGACGAGCACCAAGGGCAAAGGGACUUGUGGGGAGCAUUGUACCUGCCCACAUGGUUGGUUCAGCCCAGCACAGGCCAGUCCUGCUCCUAUAAUUGUCAACACAGAUACUUUGGACACAAUUCCUUAUGUCAAUGGGACAGAAAUUGAAUAUGAAUUUGAAGAAAUUACACUGGAGAGGGGGAAUUCUGGCCUGGGAUUCAGUAUUGCUGGGGGGACAGAUAAUCCCCACAUUGGAGAUGACCCUGGCAUAUUUAUUACGAAGAUUAUACCAGGAGGUGCUGCAGCAGAGGAUGGCAGACUCAGGGUCAAUGAUUGUAUCUUGCGGGUGAAUGAGGUUGAUGUGUCAGAGGUUUCCCACAGUAAAGCGGUGGAAGCCCUCAAGGAAGCGGGGUCUAUCGUUCGGCUGUAUGUGCGUAGAAGACGACCUAUUUUGGAGACCGUUGUGGAAAUCAAACUGUUCAAAGGCCCUAAAGGUUUAGGCUUCAGUAUUGCAGGAGGUGUGGGGAACCAACACAUUCCUGGAGACAACAGCAUUUAUGUAACUAAAAUUAUAGAUGGAGGAGCUGCACAAAAAGAUGGAAGGUUGCAAGUAGGAGAUAGACUACUAAUGGUAAACAACUACAGUUUAGAAGAAGUAACACAUGAAGAGGCAGUAGCAAUAUUAAAGAACACAUCAGAGGUAGUUUAUUUAAAAGUUGGCAAACCCACUACCAUUUAUAUGACUGAUCCUUAUGGUCCACCUGAUAUUACUCACUCUUAUUCUCCACCAAUGGAAAACCAUCUACUCUCUGGCAACAAUGGCACUUUAGAAUAUAAAACCUCCCUGCCACCCAUCUCUCCAGGAAGGUACUCACCAAUUCCAAAGCACAUGCUUGUUGACGACGACUACACCAGGCCUCCGGAACCUGUUUACAGCACUGUGAACAAACUAUGUGAUAAGCCUGCUUCUCCCAGGCACUAUUCCCCCGUUGAGUGUGACAAAAGCUUCCUCCUCUCAGCUCCCUAUUCCCACUACCACCUAGGCCUGCUACCUGACUCUGAGAUGACCAGUCAUUCCCAACAUAGCACCGCAACUCGUCAGCCUUCAGUGACUCUCCAACGGGCCAUCUCCCUGGAAGGAGAGCCUCGCAAGGUGGUCCUGCACAAAGGCUCCACUGGCCUGGGCUUCAACAUUGUCGGUGGGGAAGAUGGAGAAGGUAUUUUUGUAUCCUUCAUUCUGGCUGGUGGACCAGCAGACCUAAGUGGGGAGCUCCAGAGAGGAGACCAGAUCCUAUCGGUGAAUGGCAUUGACCUCCGUGGUGCAUCCCACGAACAGGCAGCUGCUGCACUAAAGGGGGCUGGACAGACAGUGACGAUUAUAGCACAAUAUCAACCUGAAGGUCAGUCAGAACUCGAACUAAUAAUGUUCUGAUAUGUCUCUGUGUGGAUCUGUACCCUCAUUACUAAUAAUUCAUAUUAACUAGAGUCACCAUCAUUGGUGUUUUGUAAACCUACCUAUAGUGAAAAUUGAUGGUUCACGUCCAAAGAAUGUGAACCGUGGCUUUGUUACCUCUAAUCUUCCAGGAAAAUAUCAGGCAGUUAGAAAGGCCUAUGAAAAUAUGAAUUCAAAUAAAUAGCAACCAGCAUCAACUUUAUUUCAUUAUAUUCUUAUGUGGUAUACACUUUCAGUCACCAAUGGAUACAGUAAAAACAGUUAAGACUUAAGAAGCAAAAGGGAGAGAUUUCAUCUACAGAAAUAGACCAGAAGACCAUAUUCUCUCCUCAUGACAUUAACUUAAUUCUCAUUAACACUAACAUGGCUUUUGGAGGUCCUUGAUUGAUUUUUUUUUUUGUUUUUGCCUUUACUCCUACAAUAUCCCUUGUUUGAAAUAAAUCACUGUAAACCAUGAGAUCAAAUAAAUUGGAUUAGCCAACUUAAACUUGAUGAGAUAUCCUAAAUUGGAUUAUCCAUGCCCUGCUCUUUGGUUUAUUUAAACGUCUGUUUCUGUGUUUAAAAUGAGGCUGAAUGAGACAACUGGGAUGUUACUUAUUGCAUGGUUGAUUUCUUAGAAAAUUCAUAUAUAGGUUGCUCCUUUGGAAAUGAAACAUACUUAAUGUAAGCACACAAUUAUGGGUCAGAUCUUGUUAUUAAAAAAAGAAAGGAAUAUGGCUACUGUCUUCAAGAAAUGAAGUGCAUUGCUUUUGAUCCAUAUGGCUAGCAAAGAGGAGUAUUAAACAGCUGAACAUGAGAGUAUAAGAUGUCAUCAAGGAAGAGCCUCUGUGCAUAUGAGUAUUAGGAGCUUCUUUUCAAGUGAUGAUUUGUUAGCAUCAAUGGGUCUAUUGUUGUUUGGAAGACUGAGGUUUGUGUCUUGCCUGUGACAGCUUAGAUCUUACCAUUAAUGGUGGCCAAUCACAUGGUCUGCCCAUGAAUAAAGAAAAUAUUUUCUUCCAUGCAUGUUUUGACAUGUUACUUUCAGUUGUGCCUGGCUUUAGAAUUAGAAUUUGAAAUUAAUUUAUUCAAAUUUUUUAAUUAAUGAUUUUUCCUGUGUGGACUAGGCCAGAUAUAGCCAGAGAGUGGGGAAGAAGAGAUUUGUGAUGGUCGCAGAUGGAUGAUGACAACACCAAGGAAACAUUCUCUUCUCAGAUAGUUUUGAGUAGUCUUUCUAUUUGUUAAAUAUUAGUAGACUUGUAUUUCAGUAGGGACAAAUGCUUUAAAAAGUAUCCAUUAUAGGCCAGGUGUGGUGGCUUACGCCUGUAAUCCCAGCACUUUGGGAGGCUGAGACGGGCGGAUCACAAGGUCAGGAGAUCGAGACCAUCCUGGCUAACACGGUGAAACCCCGUCUCUGCGAAAAAUACAAAAAAUUAGCUGGGUGUGGUUGCUGGCACCUGUAGUCCUAGCUACUUGGGAGGCUGAGGCAGGAGAAUGGCAUGAACCCAGGAGGUGGAGCUUGCAGUGAGCCGAGACCGUGGCACUGCACUCUGGCCUGGGUGACAGAGCAAGACUCCAUCUCAAAAAAAAAAAGUAUCCAUUAUAAAGCUGAAAAUUAAAAGAUAUAUGCUGGCAUCAUUUGAUUAACAAGUUCUACUUCAUAUAGAGUAAGAACUUUUUCAUCGGAAUCUUCCAUUUUCUUAAUAGCUGUUUUUUUCAGUCUCAAACUGCAUACCCUUCACCAUCACCUGACAUUGCAGCAUAAAUGUCUCCAUUUUCCUGUUUCUGAAAAAUCCAUCUCAAACAAUUCUGCAGACGAUAAGAUGGUUAGAAUCAUAGAUAAACAAUUAGAAGCUCUCAACAAAUGAUUUCAAGCUUUAAAGUUUACAAAAAAGGACAAACAUGUCCCUGUUCUGUCAAUGUAAAUCUUCAUCUUUCUACUGGAGCUUCCUUACAUCUUGGUUUCCUUUAAGCAAUAGGUUUAAUUUGGUUACUAUGCUGUAGUUUAUCAAGAUGCUUGUUCAAAGCAUGUCCUAUAAAUAUACAAAUUGAUUUUUAAAGUGCUUGUAAAGAAACCUGCAAAUAACAACAAGUUUUUUACAAAAUGCCAAAGUACAGAUUGGAUUCACAGAAUGACUUCUCUGUUUUAAUAGCCUAACUGUAUACUAAUUUGUUGCAGCUUUAAAUUAGAUGGAAAUGUGGUAAUGGCAACAUCAAGCAAUCAGAUUUCUUUCCUCUCCUAUCCAAACUUUAUGUGUAACUGAGCCUUAAUUUAACUGCAGUUUUCAAUGAAAAAUUGAUGAAUUGUUGUUUAGAGACAUUUAAAUUGUACAACAGUUUUAGGAAAUAAUGAAUAAUUUACCUUUAAAAUAACAAAUGAAAUGAAGAGUGCCUCAUGGGAUUCCAUUAGGAAAUUCUCACCAAGUCCCCUUUAUCUGCACCCAUAUUGUGAGUCGUUCAACCCUUAAGACAGUGCUGAGAGAUGAUUUUACUGGCAUAUCUUUUAGUAUGGUCAAGAAUUAGGCUUUCAGUAAAUACAUUUUUCAGUCAUAAUCAAAUGCUUUAUCAAAAAUUUCCUAAAUGUAUUUCUCAGUAUUAUCAGACGCUCAGAAAAAUCUGCCCCUAACCUUAAGUAAUAAGCAUAGUCUUUGUCUUCAAGGAUUUUUUUAAUCUAGUUGAGGAAAAGAGAUUUUUAUACAUUUAACAGGGUAUAGUUCCUGGUAACAUAUGAUCAAAUUGAAUGAUCCUAGCAGCAGUAUUUCUAAGAAUUAUGGAAUGUCAGAGAAAGGAUAAGCCUGAAGGAGUCAGGACAGUGCAAGAGUGCACCAUGGAAAUGUGGAAAUGGAGCCAGACCUUGAAAAAUGGGUGAAAUUUCUAUUCAGGAGUGGAGGGAGAAAGAAUAUCUUGCUAAACUACAAAAUUCUGAGUUCCAUGCACGCGGACACCAUACGUAUAUUUUGUUCACUGAUAGCUCUAUCUCUGGUGUCCUACUUAGUAUUUCUUAAAGAGUUGAUGAACUAGUGGAUAAAAGCCUACCAUUCCUCAGUUCUUGAGUUUUCACUUGAAGGUAAUUAAAGGUUGAAGGGAUUCUUCAUUUUCACUACUUGCGCUUUUCAUUUUUGCUUCAAAGACAUAAAGGAAUUCUAAAAAAAUGUGUAUUGCAAAAUAUAAAACUAUUUCCAACUGUGUUCCUCAUAGUGCUUAGCAUAUUUUUGUGAUAAUUAUAAAUAAUUUAUAAAAUGUGUAAUUAUCAUAAUGUAGCAGUAAAUGUCUUCUUUGGCAAGUUUCACUUCACAAAGCGAGAUCACAAUUAUACUCACUUCUGCUUAAAAUGAGCUUGUCUCCAGUUGUCCACAUUGCUCUAUCCAUCCUCAAUCUUAUUCAAUGUCUGGUUCAUGGUAGUAGAAUUGACACCAAUUUGAAGAGUCAUAUACGAUGUUUUUCUCCGGUGGUGUGAUUGUGAUUCAUUUUUGCCAUCUUUUAAAAUUCAAUUUUAUCAUGCACUUACUGUGAAGUUAACAUGUAUUACUUUCAUAAGAAGAGGAAAAUAAUGAAGUUGUUGUUUUUCUUUCUUUCAAGAGGAUUACAUAUGUUGUACUUCAAUAAUAAUUCCAUUUAAGCACUACGCAAAGUUAAUUAUUGUAAAACCUUUAAUUACCUAUAUCCAGUUAGUGAAGUUACUGUAAUGCCACUUCAAACAAGGAAAUAUAAUGCCUUACACAGAUGUGCACCCACAGGUACCCCUUCCCUUUCCUUACCCUUCCCAGACACCUUCCCCUUUGAUUUCAGAAUUAUCUUUCUAAGAGAUAUGACACCAAGAUGCCUGUGCACUAACUCCUUGUCCUUCACAAUAUAUUCCCAGCCAACUUCGGUGCUCCAUUCCCCACUCACCCCUCCACCACCCACAGUAUCAGCCUUUCUCAUUGUUCCCCUGCUACACAGGACUACUCUCUGCUGUUACACUUGUUCCUGAACUAUGCCUUUGCUCUGUGGAAUCCUCUACCCAGAAUUGCCUUUCUCCCUUUCCACCUGCAGGAUUCCUACUCAUCUUGAGAGCUCUCAGAUGUCAAUUCCACUACAAAGCCAUUUUUAAUCUGCUUAGUCAGCAUUAAUUGAUUCUUUAUCUGAGUUCCCCAGAACUGUAUGUAAACACCUGGUGUGCCCAUUAUCACAGUUUGCACACCUCUCCACUUGAGUGAGCUCCUAGACAGCACUAGGAGCUGUGAUAGACCCUUCUAUCACUCAUUUUAUAUCUCGUGUUAAUCCAUUCAAUAUGAAUUUGACUAUGGUUUAUUAAUGAGUUAUUGAAUGGGUUGGGUCUGCUUUUAAUUUAAAUGCAAUAUAAUGUUUUCAGUGUGUUGACAUAUAUUAAUAGUAGGUGCUUAAGAAAUAUUUGCUGAGUAAAUAUUGAAGGAAUGGCAUAGGGUUUUUAUAUUAGAUGCAGAGAUGGUAAUUGAAUCCCUGGUUUGGACAUUCGAUGUUGACAGUUUUUAGACGGUGCCUUUUGGUUUUCAGUUAUAAAACCUUUAGUAACCCUAGUAGAUAAACUCCAUUUCCCCUGCAUUGCAGAAAAUCUACAGCUGUUGUUUUGAAAUAUAGCACAAAGACAAGAUGAUUAAAGCACUAACAUUUUUUGCAAGUUCUGAAACUCAACUUUGACACCAUUGAUGAAUAAAAAGGGAAUUGAUUACAACCUAAUUAUACAUUUUUCAAAAAAGAUAACACAGCAUUUCCCUAAGUCAGAUCAGGGCAAAUCUGAUAUGUAUUUGCUGCCUUCUUUCUAAUAAUAUCUACAUUUAUUGUGAGAUAAGUGAUUAGGUUUGAAAUAAUAAGCCACAGACAUCCACUUGGAGAACUAGGUAGGCAGUAGCUAGUAUUGGAUAAAGCUCAAAAUGGAGUUAAGAGCCAAGUGGUCCCUGUGAGAACCACAAAUUCUUUUGCCUUGAAUAUGACUUCUCAGUCUCUCACAUUGUUGGAGAGACUGCAAGGAUUUCAGAAUGGCCUGCAGGUAGAAAAGAAGUCGUGGAUCGUGCAGUCCUUACCAGUGAUCAGGAACUUCGGUAGAUAGUGAAGGGACCUGAUUUCAUUCACCCAUUAUUCUUUAAUAAGGUACUUGAGUUAAAAGAAAAGCCCAAAGAGCAGAGUUGAUAAUUGCCUGGAGACUCGUAAGUGUAGUCUGGUUUAUGGAAUUGUGGCAGAGUGACUACAUGGUUCAUUUAUUCAUUUAUACAUUCAUUCAAUCAAUAGGUAUUUUUUUCUGGAUACUUAUUAUGCCUCAGUCCAUGUUAUAAGGAAAUAACAAAGCAGUGAACCAAAAAACCUCUCUCAAAUAAAUGUAAAAUAUGUCAGAUGGUGAUGAGUAGUAUAAAGAAAGAAGAAGCAGGAGAAAGAUGAUAGUGACAGAGAAAUAUAUAAUAGGCAAGGAAAGCCAUGCUAAUAAGGUGAUAUUUGAACAAAGAUCUAAAAGAAAUGAGGGAGUAAGCUAUGCAGACAUCUGAAGGAAGAAAUGAAUUAUUCUAGAGUUUUGUUCUACUAAAUGUUGUCUACAGACCAAAAGCAUAGAUAUUAAAUGAGAGCCUUCUUAGAAUUGUAAGAUCUCAGGUCUCAACCCAACCCUACUGAAUCAGAAUCUGCAUUUUAUCAAGAUUCCCCAGAGAACUUGUAUGCACAUUAGAGUUUGUGAGGCGUUGCCCUAACAUACUUGGAGACCCUGCAAAAAUUGUCACUUGUCACUGUUGGGUUGGACUCCCUCUACCUGGAGAACUGGGCAAAGUCACAUGAGGCUGCAUCACUAGAUUUGAUUUCUGGCAUGUGUCACCCAAUGAUUGGUCAUGGCUCAGUGGUUUUUGUAGGGAUAGGUCAAACUGCAGGAGAUCUAAGAAGUUCAUGUGCCAUUUAGCUCUACUUUGUCUACCCCGACCAUCUAAAUACCAAUAUCAAGCAAAUUCAUAAGUCUUGCUAGAACUCCUCAGCUAGUGAGACAAUGAACCUAUUCGGGCUUCAUUGCCUUUAGUUAUGACCUCUUCAGCAAGUGAGUUUAGAAGCGGUGAGUUGGGAUGAAGUAACAUUGACUCCUAUCCUCACAGAUGACUCUAUGAACCAAGGGAAAGUCAUUAAGGCUUCACUAUAAAAUUUGAAUAACUUACCACACUUUAAUGCAGAAACUCAUGUAAAUAAUCUAUUUCACUGCUUUUAAGUUGUGAGGCUAAUUCAGAAGGAAAACUAUUUCUUCUUUUCAGCAAUAAGUGAAACUCUGAUGUUAUUUGGGGUAACCACUGUCACAGAGCUUAAACCACAGUUGGACACCACGGUGCAUUUCUCUAUGGGGUCAAAGAUAUAAUGAAAGCUUGGCAUGAAUAUGCAAUUUAUCCCCUGAAAAAUAUAGACACCUUCUGUACCUGAAGGUUCUCAGAAAUGAAAGUACGUACGCCAUCCAAGAAGCAUACUUACAAUGCAAGACAUAUUUCUUUCUUUAAAUCAACAUCUAUGUAGGCUUAUGCAUAUGAAUGAGCAGCUGCAGCAUGUUGAAACAUUUUCCCAACUCACGUAACUGCAUCGCAAAUACCCAGGAAAGAUUUUUAAAGUCCAGCUGUGGAUCUUGAUCAGAAAUUGCGUCAAAAUCAUCAGAGAACAUUUAAGAUAAGCUUUCAGAACAGAAAGUACCAUACCGACUUGGACUGGACAAGACCAGUUUUCUAGUGCAAAUUCCAACUCAGGUGAGAUAGAAGCAUAAGUUUCAUACUUGAAUGUUUUGUCACUAACAUUACAUCUUUUCUUUGCAUUUUUAAUACACAAGGAGAAACGAAUGCACAACCUCGUUACCUUGAUAGAUUCUAUGCAGUUUAACUAGAAUCACUAAGAAAUAGAAUUUAAAAGUUUUAAGAAUCCUUAAAGAUCAUCUUGUUAAGUUUGCUCAUUUCACAGAUGGAGGAACUAAAGUUCAGCAUCUAGAUAGGAAAGCCGUUUAAUAUUUUAAAAUUAGUAUAGCUGUUAAAGCUGAGGCUAGCUGAGCAGUUAGUAAUUUCCUUGAUUUUUAAAAUUUACUAUAGUAGCUCAUGAUGGGGAGUGGCUUUAACAGCCCAAGGAAUGGAAUGCAAUGAGAUUAUUAUAAUCAAAGGGACAUAAAGGGGUCAAAAAAUUUCUGAGGGAGCCUCACCACUUUCUCGUGCAUACUGCAUCACUUUCAUUUCUAGCAUGUUACUGUUGUUAAUUGCUAUUGUUUCUGUAUCACAACUGAAUGAUGUAUACAUGACAGCAUUAUUGUAAGUGUAGGCAACUAUUGUUAAUUUUAAAAUAGCCACAAGUCUGGAAAUAGUUAUUUUUUUCAACAAAUAGUUCAAAUAUAUUACAAUUUUUCUCUUUCCAUCCUACCUUCUUUUUGCACACACUUUAUCCAGCCAGCCAGCCAGCUGCUUAUCCAUUCAUUUAUCUGCUACCAAUAAGCUUAUCUUUAGUGAUACUCUUUAUUGCCAAAUAUUAAAUUUCACCUAAUAUGUUACAUUAAUUAUGUUGUAAUUAAUCUAGUUAUCAUAUUCUAAUUUUUACUGAAAUAUUAGGAAAGAAACUUAAAUAAAACUUUACAUGACUCUAGAUUUUUAUUGCUUAGACAUUUCUUUCUCCACAACUCUUUCCCACACAUGUACACAUUCUACUAACAGAAAAAUGCCUCUGCCAGCAACUAGACAUUUCCCAGGAAGUCUCUUCACUUAUUGUAUCCUUUUAAUAGCCUUCUCCUAGUUGCCUUUGAUUCCUCCCCAACCUCCAUCUAACCCAUAGCAGCGUAGACUAUGACCAAAAAGAUUAUUCCUGAACAGCCUGCAGAUUCAUUCAUGAAAGGUCCUUUCCAGAUUCCUUAAUAAUUAAUCAUGCUGCAUACCUCUCCCCAUGCCCAAAAGCCAGUUUUUGACCUUGAGUAAUAUAAUAAGGACAAAAGCAGGUAUCACUUCCUAACUCCUAACUUAGAAAACUCUCUUCAUCUCAUUAUCUAUCCUGGGAAUGCUACAUCUUUAACUCAUAUCAAAGGGGUUAAAAAUAUUUACAAAGCUGAUUAUAGGUUAAUAAUAGAUAUAGCCUCCUCUCAUUGUAUGAUUACAGUUCCCAUCCCCAUAAAAACUUUCAUUCCAUAAUAAAGUAUAUUUAUCUUUGACAGUUUCAUCUUGUGAUUUUAUAUUAUUUGAGGGGUAUCUUGACAUUUAGUGAUAUCAAUCAGUCACUCAUUAAUACUGUAAAAAGCCAAAUAAAUCCUUGUGCUAGAGAUGUUUUGACAACAAGGAGACCUCUUAGAUUGACAUCUAUCAUUAGCAAGACCCAGAUCAAAUGCAUGGAAAUAAAGAGUUCUAAUACUACUCUUGACUCUACAAGUAUUACAAAAUGAACACAGAUCUUCACUAGAUAAUCCUUCAAUUUGAUAAGGAAUUUCAGGGUGUUAGAGAACUGUAAAAGAAUGUUCCACAGAGAUAUGCAAAGAGGACUAUAAAGCAAGACAGUUUUAAAAAUUUCUGACUUCACUCUAUAUUCUGGGUGCCCAGUAUAGUUUACCCUCACAUCUCUUUGAAUAGCUAUUUGUCAGUACUCAAGUUUAGUAAUGAGUAAUGAGGCACUUUUCUUGUCCUGUCCCUCACUCUGCAACUUUAUUGAGCACACCUAAGUCAUAUCACUUUUCUGAACAUGGAUUCCAUUGUUUGUUAAUUAAGGUGGUUCGAGAGAUUAGUUUUAAGGCCCUUUCCAGCUGAUGUUCUAUGAAGUUUAGUUUAUUGUGUCUUCUAAUUAAAACAUGCCAUCAAAUAACAAUUAUUACAAUAAAGUAAUUUCUAAAUGUUUCCUUUUUCCUCAUACAUUUUAAACACACAGAAAUUAUCUUUCACCCACUCAGAAGAAGGGGAAAGAUCUGUAUCUGUGUAAUUUGCUGUCUCGGUGUACCAUGGGAUUUGAAACAUUCAGUGAUGAUUUUAAGUUUAAUUCAAGUAGAAGCAUUUAUUGUUUCUUGGGGGUUUCAAGAUUAACAACUUACUGUUCAUGAUCUUUUUGUUUAUAGAACCAUUGUGACCUAAAUCUUAUCAGUUUAAUAAAUUAAAUUGUAAUUGCUAAACUUGCAAAUAGAUUUUUUGAGGCUACAGAAAAGUAAUGUAAAAAAUCAAUUUCAGGACAUUAAAGAUGCAGAAAGCUGAAAUAGUGGAGAUGUCUUGAACUGUCAGAAUCACAAGUAGUGGCAGCUUUAGGGUGGAAACCCAAGCCCAAGAAAUAGAAAGUAUACAUCUUUAAUGUGCUUUUUAGAUUCCUAAUUCACAUAGACUUCCUGAUAGACUCAUCACCUAAGUCUUUAAAAGACAAAAAUUCCAAAUUGCACUUUAUUUCAAGAUAAUCUCUUAUUUUCCUCUUAGCUUUCUCACAUUUAUCAUGUUCCCAUUGCUAAGAGUAAUUUACUUUAUUACUGAAGAAUUGCUGGCGCAUUGGUAAAAUUAAGCAAUGGCAGGACGACAUUCAUUCAUUCAAUCUUUAUUCAGCUAAUAUUUAUUAAAUUAUUCCAGUGAGUGACAUGCUACCUUGCACUCUGGAGAUACAAUGGUGAGCAAAAUAGACAUGGCCCGUUCCUUCCCUAAUGGACCUACAGUCAGCCAAGUAAAAUCACACUAACGACUUAUACAAAGUGAAUGCUCAAGAAAAAGAAGAGAACUUGGAUCCAAAAUCUUAAAGUCUAGGUACUCAAAUGUACUCAGAGAAUACUAAACCAGACCAAACGAAGACAAACAAAAGCUCUGACCUAGAGGAGAGGGUCAAGAAGGCAUUCCACGGGAAUAAUACUUUCUUUAAUCUGAAGGGUGAGUAGAUAUUGUCAAAGCAUAGCAGAAAAAGGAGUUGUGAGGAAGAGUAUUUCAGGAGGGAAAGAUAUCUGAAGUGUAUCUGAAGGAGAGAGGAUGGUGGAAUGGAGGGACUGAAAGCAAACAGGGAAUGUGGGAGACACACUGGAGGAGGCAGAAGAGACAAGCAGAGACAGAUCACACAGGACUGUGUUAUUUCUCCUAAAAACAAUGAAAGGACCUUUGAAAGGUUUUAGGCCUGAGGCUGGCAAGAUCAGAUUUGCUGUUCACAAAGAUGGCUCUGGCUGCUGAAUAGAGAGUAAGCCAGAAAGCACUGGAGAGGCUGGGGUAGGACCAGUUGAAAGGCAUGAAUCUAUGUGAGAGAUGGUGCUAGUUGGAUAAGCGUGGUGGCAGACCAGCAGUUCAAGAGUGCAGUGAGCUAUGAUCACAUCACAGCAAUCCAGGUUGCAGGACAGAGCAAGACCCUAUCUUUAAAAAAGGUAAAAUAAAAAAUAAAGAGUGGUGGCAGAAUAGGUAGAGAGAAGUAGAUAGAUUCAGGGAAGGAUGCAGGCAGUAAAACCAAUAGACAUAAAUAUUGACCUAUAAAUUCAUCCAUUUCAUGAAAACAUAGAAAGCAUGAUUGACUAAUUAAAAAACUAACAAACCCUUCACAGAAAAGCAUGUUUUUUUCAUAUUUAUUUAUUUAUUUAUUUUUGAGACAGAGUCUUGCUCUGUCAUCCAGGCUGGAGUGCAGUGGCGCAAUCUCUGCUCACUGCAAGCUCCGCCUCCUUGGUUCAUGCCAUUCUCCUUCUUCAGCCUCUCGAGUAGCUGGGACUACAGGCGCCCACCACCACACCCAGCUAAUUUUUUGUAUUUUUAGUAGAGACAAGGUUUCACUGUGUUAGCCAGUAUGGUCUCGAUCUCCUGAUCUUGUGAUCCACCUGCCUGGGCCUCCCAAAGUGCUGGGAUUGCAGGCAUGAACCACUGCUCCCGGCUAUUCAUCUUUAUAUUCCUUCUUUUCCCUUAGUACAGUGUCUGGCUAAUAGUAGGCAUUUAAAUGUAGACCAAAUUGAAGAAAAAAAAAGAAGAAUGACAAUUAACUUAUUUUAUAGAAACUCUGUUUUUACUUUUUAAAACAAUGUGUAGCUAAAGCAGAGUAAAAUAUAGAUGAAAGAAAAAGAAAGAUGGAGAGAGAAUGGGACAUGGUUACAAGAAAAGGAAUAAUUAAAACUCGCAUGUAUGAAGCACUCACUACAGGCCUGACACCUUUCUGAAACCUCUGCAUGUGUUAAUUCAUUUAAACUUUGCAAAAACUUAUGAUAUAGGUUAUAUUCCCUUACUCAUUUUACAGAUGAGGAAACUGAGACACAGAAAGCAUAAGUGGUUUUCCCCAGGUUAAAAACUAUACAGUAGAGUAAAACAAAGUUGCAGUCUCAGGCAGAAAGGCUCCAGAACAACCCGUGCACCAUCCUGUUUCUCAUAAAAGGAAGAAAACAUAAACAGAUUCAUGCUGUGAUAAAAGGCUUGAAGAGGAAACAAAAUAGUUUGGAAUGGGUGUGGAGGAACCAAAAGAAAAAGAUGCCAGGAGAGGGAUAUGGAGGGACAAAAUUUGUCAGACAAGGAAAUAGAGUUAGGAGGGUUCAUGCUGGUGGAGUUAGAGAGUUUAGCACCCAGUUGUAAAUGAGAACAGAGGAGUCCAACAGUAGCGGCUUGGAGUAGGGCCUGGAUUAGGAGCAGAUACAGGCUAAGAGAGUAUGUUUUCUUUCUCUUUUUAAAAUUAUUGUUGUUCUUUUGGGGGAUGUGGGAGUCUUGGGCUUGGCUCUAGGAAUAGUUUGGCUCUAGGAAUAGUUUGGCCCCAAGCUGUCAUAAAGGCAAGCAGAGGGCUCACCACUUACUAGCUGUGAGACCUUAAGUGAGUGACAACCUCUCUGUGCCAGAGAGUCUUCACCAGGAAUGUAGGGGUAAUCAUAUUUACCUUCCAGAGUUGCUGGAAGAAUUAGUGAAAAUGGAUGUAGAAUGUUCAGAAUGGAGUAGGCCAUCCGUAAAUGACAGCUAGUGUAAUAACCUUCAACACAUAUUUGAGUGAGCAUUGUGCUGCCCUUUGCUCUAAUCAGCCCUUUGCACCAUACUUACAAGUAUUCCUGAGAGGGUCAAAGAGCUUCAUAGAGUUUGGGAAGCAGCAGUAGUUAAGAAUUUCCUUACUUUCUACUGAUAGGCCUGAAAUAUAGAAAGAGAAAAAAAAAAGAAUUCGUACUGUGAAAUCGGAUAGAUAUGUUCAAAUUCCAGCUCCACCAUUAACAGCUCUGUAGCCUUGGAAAAUUACUUCACUUCUUGGAAUCUCAUUCUUUAUCCGUAAAAUGAUGAUUCACACCUACCUCACAGGAUGACUCUGGGGAUUAAAUGAAGGAGUACAUAUAAAAUGCCUGGCAGUGUCCUGACAGAUAGUAUGUCCUCCAUAAGUGAUAACUAUCAUUAUUGUCAUAAUUAUCAGAAACACCAGAAACCCUAUAAUGUGGCUAUUAUGUGGAGAGAGAGAUAAUUAGACCCAGAGGGGGAAAGGAACUUGAGAAAACCCUUGGGAGACUGUGGAUGCAGGCAUUUACAGGAUGUCUUCAGUAUCAAAACUGAUGUGGAGAUAAUGCCCUGUGUGGAAGUUUCAAAUAAACUGUCCUCUGAAGAGUCCUGGGGUCUGGCAGAGGGAUGGCAGGAGGAGGGAUGGGGAGUGCAGGAGGAGACAACCUGGCCCCUGGCCCCAGUCCCACUCCAGCCAAAGCAACCUUUAUUUGUUUUUCAUGUUUGGUCUUGGAUACAUGAAGCAAGGAUCUUACCACCAAAAAACAGUUUUAAAGCUGUUUAUCAGAAGGCAAGAAAUGCUCUUCAGAUUAAGGUAUUUGUGUGUUUAGGAUGAAAAAAGCUGUAAGCUCAGUUAUUUUUCCACUAGAAUGUAAACUCCAUGAGAGCAUCACGUUUUAUCUGUCUUGCUCACGGCCGUGUCCGAAGUGCCUAGAGAAGCACCCAGCACAGAGUGGGCACUCAGUACAUAUUUGUGGAAUGAACUAAUGCACCAAACAAAUGACCAUACCUUGCAGUUUCUCUUUGAACUAUAGGUAGCAAAGUAAAUUCAUCCCCACUGAAAUGCUUGUUGGGAGUUCUGUUAGUUAACUAGAGCUUCCAAAUAUUGACCUUCAAUGCUGAAAAAAUAGCCAUUCUAUGGGAGCAGAUUUUCUUUGCUUCCAAGAAUGAUUCUGACACUGCUGCUGACCAGGUUAGCUAAAGACAAACACACACUCAGUUUUACUUUGGUUGUUUGGUGCAUGAAAGCAAAAGAUUAAGCAAACAAAUAAGCAUAUCUCCUAAUGAUCUUAAUAGUGGCAUUGAGAAUUUGAAAAUAGAGUCUUGGAAACAGUAAUUGAAAUAUAAAAUAUUAACUAGCACAAGUAUAAGACUUUGCAGUUUACAAAGCACUCUCAUGUGUGUUUCUUAUUGAAUCUACAGAACAACUCCAAGAGGUAAAUAGACUGGUGGUAUUAUCACCAUUCUAAUUUCGUAGAUAAGAGAAGUAAAGCUCAGUGAAGUUAAGUGACUCACUCAAGGUCACACAACUAGUAAAUACUAUGAGCCAAACUUGCACCCAGAUGCUCUGAUUCCAUUUCUUGUGCUCUUUCUUCAGCAUCAUACUCUAAUUAGUUUUACUAUCCAAAUAGUAACUAAAUGGAGCAUAGAAUUAUCAUGCUUUCCAUAAGUUUGCUAAACAUAUUUUGAGAAAACUUAUUUGCCUGUUUGAUGAAUGAAUGCUUGGUGGUAUAUUAACUUUAUUUUUAAUGCUAACAUAAUACGUGGGUUCAAAAAUCAAAAUAAUAUUAAAAUGUGUACACUGAGAAGUCACAUAUCAUCUUCAUCUCCAUUGAUCCCAAUUUCUUCUUGCCCCUAUUAGUAGCCAGUUAAAUUAAUGAUAAACUUAUCUAAAUAAAAUCUGAAACUAAGACCAUAGAGGAAUACAGGUAAAUCUUAUUGGUAUUAUUUUAAAGAAGAAAAAAAUGCUUAACAGGAGAAUGUGUAAUGGCCUGGGAGUUAAGGAAUGAAACAUUGUGAUUUCUUAGUUGGCUUACCACUGACACCUGCUCUUCAUGCCUAAAGAUAUUUUCCCAAAUCAGAAAUAAUUUUAUAGCAUUAGAUAUUCCUUUCUUCCUUUCUUCCUUCCUUUCUUUCUCUCUUUUCUUUCUUUCUCUUUCUUUUCUUUCUUUCUGUCUUUUUUCCUUCCUUCCUUCCUUCCUUCCUUCUUCCCUCCUUCCUUCUUUCUUUCUUCCCUUCCCCUUCCCCUUCUCCUUCCUUCCUUCCUUCCUCCCUCCCUCCCUCUCUUUUCUUUUCUUUUUUCUUUUCUUUUGUUCUCUUUUCUUUUUUCUUUUCUUUUGUUCUCUUUUCUUUUUUAUUGAGACCGGGUCUUGCCCUGUCAUCCAGGCUGGAGUGCAGUGGUGCAAUCUUGGCUGACUGCAACUUCCACCUCCUAGGCUCAAGGGAUCCUCCCACCCCAGCCUCCCAGGUAGCUGGGACCACAGGUGCACAGCACCACGCCCAGCCAAUUUUUUUCUAUUUUUGGUAGCAACGGGAUUUCACUAUGUUGCCCAGGCUGGCCUCAACCUCCUGAGCUCAAGCGAUCUGCCCACCUCAGCCUCCCAAAGUGCUAGGAUUACAGGCAUGAGCCACCGCACCUGGCCUAGAUUUUUCUUUCAGUGUGACUAUCAUAAUAACCAAUGUGCUGUAGAUUGCCAAGGGAUCACAAGUUACAAAAGAAAUCUCCAUGCAAUUGUACUUCAUUAACUGGUGCGAUUUUCUAGAAAAAAAAUGGAACACAAUAAUCUUUGAAGAGGUUACUGGCAUCUAAAGGGAUAUGAAAUCAAGGUUAAAACCACCCCAUUCCCUUGGAAAUAUGUGCAAAAAUUAACCAGUUUCAUAUCAUAGACAUCUUCCUAUAAAGAUAUUUAUAAUCCUUCUUCAUUAUGCAAUAGUCAAUGCAUAAAUACCUCUGUUGAAGGUCACUCAGAAGAACUGAUUUUAUAAACGAUUGAUUUCUUAGUAAUAGAAAUAAUCAUACCCCAUUUAUCCAAGUUUUUAAUAUAAUCAUGCACCACAUAAUAAUGUUUGAGUUAAUAAUGGAUCACAUAUACAAUAGUGGUCUUAUAAGAUUAUAAUACCAUAUGUUUAUAGUACUUUUUAUAUGUUUAGAUACACAAAUACUUACUGUUGUGUUACAGUUGCCUAGAGUAUUCAGUACAGUAACAGUAACAUGCUGUACAUAUUUGUAGCCCAGGAGCAAGAGGCCAUACCACACAGCCUAGUUGUCUAUUAGGCUAUACCAUCUAGGUUCAUGUAAGUGCACUCUGAGAUGUUCCCAUGACAGGCAAUCACCAAAAGACAUAAUUACCAUCGUUAAGCAACACACUGCUGUAUUUUUAUUUCUUUUAAAUAUUUGAAUUUCCUACAAAAAAGAAAAAGAAGUAUUUGAAUUAUUUAAAAAUAGGCAUUAUUCAUUGUGGGAGAUUUUCCCAGUAUGCAAAAGAAGGAGUAGUAGAGUUUUAGAGACAAUUCCCCGCUGUUGUAUAUUUAGUAACGAGCAGCAGAAACACAGAGCGUUCUAAAAGAAACACAAUUAUCUAUAGAAUUGCAGACAAAUAGUUGCUUUAGGUAACUAUUAGUGAGAAAUAAUAAAAGUAGUGUGUUUACACAAUCAUUAUCAAAACAAAGCUGAAACAAACUCCAAAGAAAUGAAGAUGUGAAGAUUAUUGGGAGGGGUGCGGGAGGCAGAAGGACGUGCUGAGAAAAUUGCUGAGGAAAAUCAAAUGUUUUCAACUUGGAUAGUUCUAUUUAUCAUUAGGAACGCAUUUUUCCCUCCUUCUAAAAGAUUCAAGAGAAAACGUUUUUAAUAGUCCGCUGACAUAUGGAUGUUUAAUUUUCUUAUCGAAAGCAAAAAAAUUGGAUUUUCUUAUUAAUCUCUUAUUUGUUCAUUUUGUGAUUGUUGAUGUUGAAAUAUUAAGGAUACAUUAUUGUAAUUUUUUCUCAUAAUUUGUAUUUUCCAUCUUUGACUUUCUUAACUAUAAACCAAAAAUAAAAAGUAAAAUUUUACAGAAAGCCUGAGAGUACAGAACAAGCUAUAAAGAAAAUCAAGUAUAAUAUCUAGCUUUAAAGCAUAAUGUAUAUUAUUUUAUGAAACAAGAGCUGGUCUUUAGAAGAAAAAAAAUAAGUGCACUUAUCAAGCAUUUACUAUAUGUCAGGCAGUUUUCUUAGGCACUUUUCAUCUAAAUUUAUACGUCCAAAUAUAUGUCUCCUCUUAUCAUCCUCUCCCCAGCUAUACCUCUCCUUGAAUGUUUACUCAAAUGACACCAAAUUGCUCAUCAUUCACCCAACAAGCCUUGAUGUUUCAUCCUCUGGGGCUUAGUAAUUAUAUUCUGCCCAGAAUUCCCUUUUUCCUUUGCCUACUCAACACACCUUUACUUUCUUUUUUUUUUUUAAUUAAAAAACGUUUUAAUUGGUUUCCAAAGGAGGCUAUAGACUACAUUGAAACUAAUCUUUGUACAAAAGCCCCCCAAAAAAAAAAAAAACACAACACCAAA